UUAUUCUAGCGGUCAGACAGGUCUGUGUCUAUUAUGUAAAAAAUAUAUAAUUAAGGAUAUAGUUGAUAUUAUAAAAAAUUCAUAUAGAAAAUAAGUAUACAUGCAGUUACCAAUUUAUUAAAUAAAUCAUCACAUUAUGAGAGGGUAAAGUUGAAAAUACAUAAAAUCCACAUCAAAUUGAUGAAUCUUUUUAUAUUAUUUUAAAAAAAAUUAUAGAAGUAUAGAUUAUAGAUUUUAAAAAUAAAACCAACUAUUGUGGUUACAUUAGACAUUUAAUUUUCAUAACUUCGACUUGUUUGAUUUGAAAAACAAAAACAUGUUUUAAGGGGUAAAGUAGAAAUAAGAAAAGUCCACACCAAAAAAAAAUUAUUAUUAUUAUUUUGACAACUUAUUAUUGUUAUUAUUAUUUGUUUAUUUGGUUUCAACUAUUUAUUUCAGGUGAAUAAGGCUAUGAGGAAACGUCGUACAGAGGAGUUAAAGAAACUAUAUCCUUCGACUGAUGUAAUUUAUUUUAUUGCUCAAAAAAAAGUCUUAAAUUAUAAAAUCAUUUUAUACGAGAGAAAUAAAAUAAUAAUGUCUAAUGCCUUUAAUUUUUUAUUUCUCAGGUUGAAAUGAUUNNNNNNNNNNNNNNNNNNNNNNNNNNNNNNNNNNNNNNNNNNNNNNNNNNNNNNNNNAACUUUAUGGUCGAUGGAUUAUUGAGACUCAAUCAAUCUUCCAUCCUUGGAAUUGUUGGCAAGGGUCAUUUAAAGGGCAUGAAGUGUUAUUGGGAAGAUAAAAUGGGAGUUCAGCAAGACAGUUACAAAAAUUUAAUGAGUUACUAAUUGGAUUGUGGUUUCAGCUUGAAAGCAAUUAGUUAAAAGUUAAAAACUAGUUUUCUCCUACCUUCUAAGCCUAGCUCGUUGAAAUUCAGAUAGUUUUUGCAUACAUUUCAUUGAUCUUGUGUGAUGGUGUUACUCACAAAAUGGCCCGUCUUCUAGAAUCUUAGCUGUUGCUGUAUGAUCAUUCCCCAUCUUUUGUGACUAUUUGUGAACAUUUCUUUUCAUAUAGCUGUUAUGCUGAAUGAAUAGUACAAUUAACAUAAUCAUCAAAAUUCUCUUUCUCCUUGUAUUUUAUAAUUCUAUGCAUUUUUCCUUUUUUCAUUAACUAAUGAAUGCUAUUUUGUCUUUUACUAGCAUUCCUGCAGUGAGCUAUAGGUCGUUAAUACUUAAUAGAAUCUCCCUAACGAUUGAAAUGGCCACAAAAUUGGUGUAUGGUUCGAUCA
rnacentral:lncRNA from 1 species